UUUGUUUAAAAUUUUGUUUUAUUUAUUAUUGCUAGUGAGAUGGCUCAGGGUGUAAAAGCACUUUCCACCAAGUCUAACAACCUGAGUUUAUUCUCCAGGACUGAUGGUUUAAGGAGAAAACUGACUCCCACAAAUUGUUUUCCUGGUUUUCAUAUAUGAGGUAUGGCACAAACAUCUGUGUAUAUGAGUGUGUGUGUGUGUGUGUGUGUGUGUGUGUAUUGAGCAUUUAGAGUCUCAAUUUGUCUCAUUUGAGUUACUGCAUUUUCAUCUAGUGCUCAGUGUAUGAUAAAUAUCCUGGAUAGGUGUAAUGAUGAAUCAGACAUGACUCCUACUCCAGAGAAACUAAACUAUAAGGUGACUCAAAGUAAGAACAAGACAGACUGAGCAUGCUCUCUUUUGGGCUGACUGAUCUCAUGCAACACCCAAAGGGAAAGACAGUUCAUCAGUCCUCUCAGCUCCAUGACUCCCACUGUUGUCCAAAAGAAGGCUUGCUGCUGUGCAGUCCUCAGGCAUAGAUGGACUUACAGGCUUUAACAGGAGGUCUGCUAAGAGAAGCAUGGAGCUGCUGUUCAGAGAAAUCUGCAUCCGUUGGCUGGCUCCAAAGCACUCCUGACUGCAGACAGGAAUGGAGGAUGUUGAGGUUAACAUGUGUGGGAUACUGAAAUGCUAGUUUCCAUUGUGAAGGAAAUAUCUCUCACUACCAAAAAUUUAAAAGAAAAAAAAUCUGAAGAUCAUAAAUAAAGUUAUUCCAAGCUGAA